rnacentral:misc_RNA from 1 species
GUUUCAUUGAUGCAAUAGGAAUGCGAUCAGACUCUCGGAACAGUGACCCCUUACGGCUUUUUAUACACUCUACACUUCAUGACAGCUGGAGAUGCAACGUUCCAACCAUUUGCCAGGCAUUUUGUAAAUAUUCCUUCGCGUUCCAGAAUUAAUCCAUUUUCUGAGGAUAUUUUUGAGUUUCUUUUUGAUCCCAAUACUCUAAUGUUGGAUCAAUCCAUUUGAAUCGCGGACUAUCACUGUGCAAGAUGAUUAUGUUUU